AAAACCCCGCAAGGGGUUAGUAGAGUGGCGAACGGGUGAGUAACACGUGGGUGACCUACCUUCGAAUGGGGGAUAACGUCCCGAAAGGGACGCUAAUACCGCAUAACAUCCUGCUUUUGAACAAGUGGAGAUCAAAGCCGGGGAUCGCAAGACCUGGCGUUUGAAGAGGGGCCCGCGUCUGAUUAGCUAGUUGGUGAGGUAACGGCUCACCAAGGCGACGAUCAGUAUCCGGCCUGAGAGGGCGGACGGACACACUGGGACUGAGACACGGCCCAGACUCCUACGGGAGGCAGCAGUGGGGAAUUGUUCGCAAUGGGCGCAAGCCUGACGACGCAACGCCGCGUGGAGGAUGAAGGUCUUCGGAUUGUAAACUCCUGUUGCCCGGGACGAAACGCUUCGACCUAACACGUCGGAGUUUGACGGUACCGGGUGAGGAAGCCCCGGCUAACUCUGUGCCAGCAGCCGCGGUAAUACAGAGGGGGCAAGCGUUGUUCGGAAUUACUGGGCGUAAAGGGCGCGUAGGCGGCCUUCUAAGUCGAACGUGAAAUCCCCGGGCUCAACCCGGGAACUGCGUCCGAUACUGGAAGGCUUGAAUCCGGGAGAGGGAUGCGGAAUUCCAGGUGUAGCGGUGAAAUGCGUAGAUAUCUGGAGGAACACCGGUGGCGAAGGCGGCAUCCUGGACCGGCAUUGACGCUGAGGCGCGAAAGCCAGGGGAGCAAACGGGAUUAGAUACCCCGGUAGUCCUGGCCCUAAACGAUGAAUGCUUGGUGUGGCGGGUAUCGAUCCCUGCCGUGCCGAAGCUAACGCAUUAAGCAUUCCGCCU
rnacentral:rRNA from 1 species